rnacentral:rRNA from 1 species
UAACGCGUGGGCAACCUGCCUUACACAGGGGGAUAACAGUUAGAAAUGACUGCUAAUACCGCAUAAGACCACAUUGCCGCAUGGCAGGGUGGUAAAAACUCCGGUGGUGUAGGAUGGGCCCGCGUCUGAUUAGGUAGUUGGCAGGGUAGAGGCCUACCAAGCCUACGAUCAGUAGCCGGCCUGAGAGGGUGGACGGCCACAUUGGGACUGAGACACGGCCCAAACUCCUACGGGAGGCAGCAGUGGGGAAUAUUGCACAAUGGGGGAAACCCUGAUGCAGCGACGCCGCGUGAGUGAGGAAGUAUUUCGGUAUGUAAAGCUCUAUCAGCAGGGAAGAAAAUGACGGUACCUGACUAAGAAGCCCCGGCUAACUACGUGCCAGCAGCCGCGGUAAUACGUAGGGGGCAAGCGUUAUCCGGAUUUACUGGGUGUAAAGGGAGCGUAGACGGAGGAGCAAGUCUGAUGUGAAAAUCCGGGGCCCAACCCCGGAACUGCAUUGGAAACUGUUUAUCUAGAGUGUCGGAGAGGCAAGUGGAAUUCCUAGUGUAGCGGUGAAAUGCGUAGAUAUUAGGAGGAACACCAGUGGCGAAGGCGGCUUGCUGGACGAUGACUGACGUUGAGGCUCGAAAGCGUGGGGAGCAAACAGGAUUAGAUACCCUGGUAGUCCACGCCGUAAACGAUGACUACUAGGUGU